AUGUCGGCUCAUCACAUCCUGGGGCUGUAGCCGGUCCCAAGGGUAUGGCUGUUCGCCAUUUAAAGUGGUACGCGAGCUGGGUUUAGAACGUCGUGAGACAGUU
rnacentral:rRNA from 1 species